CAAUAGCGUAUAUUUAAGUUGUUGCAGUUAAAAAGCUCGUAGUCGGAUUUUGGCUGAGAACGAUCGGUCCGCCGUUAGGUGUGCACUGAUUGGUCUCAGCUUCCUGGUGAGGAGGUGUGCUUCACGGCCACUUAGUCACCGUGGUUACUUUGAAAAAAUUAGAGAGUUCAAAGCGGGCUUACGCUUGAAUAUAUUAGCAUGGAAUAACACCAUAGGACUCCUGUCCUAUUUCGUUGGUCUCGGGACGGGAGUAAUGAUUAAGAGGAACAGUUGGGGGCAUUCGUAUUUCAUUGUCAGAGGUGAAAUUCUUGGAUUUAUGAAAGACGAACUUCUGCGAAAGCAUUUGCCAAGGAUGUUUUCAUUGA
rnacentral:rRNA from 1 species